GGACCGCUAGCUCAGUGGUAGAGCAACCGGCUGCAGCGUUCCAACCCGAUCUUUCGGACUGGAGCAGUGGUUCCGGUAGGUCUCGUGUUCAACUCACGAGCGGUCCU